rnacentral:lncRNA from 1 species
CUCCUUGGUCUUUCUGCAAGUGCUGCUACGGCGACCAUUUUCCCGCAAUGCUCGCAAGCUCCUAUAGCUUCCCUUCUUCCCCCGUACCUCUCACCAGCGGUGUCUUCGGUAUGUGAAAACCCAAUUCUUCAACCCUACAGGAUCCAACAGGCAAUCACAGCUGGCAUCUUACCUUUAUCACCCUUGUUCCUCCAACAAUCAUCAGCCCUAUUACAUCAGUUACCUUUGGUGCAUUUAUUGGCACAAAACAUCAGGGCACAACAACUACAACAACUUGUGCUAGCAAACCUUGCUGCCUACUCUCAGCAACAGCAGUUUCUUCCAUUCAACCAACUAGCUGCAUUGAACUCUGCUUCUUAUUUGCAACAACAACAACUACCAUUCAGCCAGCUACCUGCUGCCUACCCCCAGCAAUUUCUUCCAUUCAACCAACUGGCAGCAUUGAACUCUCCUGCUUAUUUACAGCAGCAACAACUACUACCAUUCAGCCAGCUAGCUGGUGUGAGCCCUGCUACCUUCUUGAUACAACCACAGUUGUUGCCGUUCUACCAGCACGCUGCGCCUAACGCUGGCACCCUCUUACAACUGCAACAAUUGCUGCCAUUCAACCAACUUGCUUUGACAAACCCAGCAGCGUUCUACCAACAACCCAUCAUUGGUGGUGCCCUCUUUUAGAUUUCUUAUGAGUUAUAGUUCAAUAAUAAAGUUUUUUGUCUGAUGUUUGUGGCUUCCCAGAAAUAAGAAAGUACAUUUCUAGAUUCUUAUGUGCUUCUAGUCUCCAAAUGUGGUUGAUAGUUAUUUUGCUCUAAGAUCGACAGUAAUGAAGUAUAAAUCAUCGUUGUGGUGUGCUACUCGGUUAAUUGAGCAUUAACACACACAAACAUGACGAGGAUGGUAUAAUCUCCAAAAAUAUGUACUUUGUUAGGUGGGACCCUAUAGCCUUGCAUAAUGUGCUAUGUUAGGCAUGCCUGGAAACGUGUGACGCAUAUGUUUUGUGAACCUGUUGAUAUUAUAUGUGCUUUUAUAUUACCAUAUUUUAUUAAAAUACUAAUAUUUAUUACUAGUAAGAUAUAACAUUCUAUCUAGCUUAAAAACUAACCAUAAAUAUUCCAUAAUAACUAGAUUUACCAAACUAAUAUACUAAAUAUACAUAAUAAAUACAAAAUUAACAAGACAAUAAUCAAUAUUUAUGAGCUUAAUAUAUUUAGACAUUAUGGUUGGUCGACCAUAAUCAUGCUAACUUUUCGUACUUGCUUGAUUGUAAAUAUGCUUAGAAUAAUGCCUCUUUGUUCUACAUGGCAAAUAGGGACCAUUAUGGUGUAACACCCUGGGAACCACAAACACCCCGAAAUGCUACUAAACUACACAACUAACCUUCAUAUAUAAAAUUUCGACAGCAUCUCCUUUGAAAAUUUGCAUAAACGUGGAAGCAACAGAGUAUAAACAGAUAUCAUGAUAAGGAAACAUACUAGACAUUAAUAAUCUGCUAGAAAUGGGAAGAUAACCAUAACGACAUAAACUGAAUUAACUAGUGUGCACAACUUGUUUAAAACAAACAUCAUUGACAAGAAGUUUCUAAUUAAAUCAUGGCUGUGCCUGGGUAGCGUUAUUAUGAGAGUGAAGGUGGACGUGAUGCUACUUCCCUCAUUCCCAACAUGAAUCAAGUACCUGCAUUGAGUAAUGCAAGAGUGAGAUGAAAACAUCUCAGCAAGUAAAUUGUUUUGACGAGAUAUUUAAAGCAAAAAAAUUUGAUUUACUCAACAUUUUAAAGGGAUCACAAUUGAGAUCAGAAAUACUUGUAGAUAUAGAACUCAAUAGUCCCAAAAUAACCAGUGCCAUCUCAUUUCCUCAAACAACCACAAUAGGUUGUAUAACACUUCCCUGCGUCAUCAAUACCUGCAAAUAUCACUUCAAUGUAUGCAUAGGAAUGCAAUGUUUAAGUCCUCUGCAUUCAUACUUCUUAGAGUAUAAAACCACACCAUCUGCAAAUAUCACUUCAAUGAAUGCAUAUGAAUGCAAUGCAUAUGUCCUCUGCCUUCAUACCUCUAAGGGUAUGAAGCCGAAUCGUACCCCUCCUCGGGCAACGUACGAUGCUAAGUUGUACCGUUACGGUCGGACCAUAGGUCACGACAAAACUUCAUAUGCAAGUGAAUCAUGACAUGUAUAUGGCUUGCUGCAUUUAUCAAUAUACUUCACUUCCUUCAUAUACAAUACAAACCUCAAAUAAUACUUCGUUUACCUUCAGAUACAAUACAAACCUCAAAUAAUACUUCAUUCACCUUCAGGGGUGUUUAUUAAUCUCGUGGGUCAUACUCGAAUCAUCAUCAUCAUCAAUGAUGAUUAAGCAUCAGUAUAAUACAAUCAAGUAAAGCAUCACCAUAGAGUUCAAUUAUGAAAGAAUUCGAUGAUUCUGAAUAUUAGAGUGUAUGCGAUGAAACAACAACGUCAAAACGGUAGCAACCACCGCUACAUUCACUUGCCUUCAUCGAAGAAGAAAAACAUACUAGGCAUGAUUCAGAGUGUAGACACCUGCUGUGGGGCUUAAAACUUAGUACAAAUAUUCCACAAACAUUUGCCAACAAUUAACAAAUCGCUCCUACACUUGAAACCAAGACCCGGUGGAAUGACUCCCACCCUGAACCACAUGCCAAACAAUAGUAGUGUUGUUUGUUAAUUUUGUAUCUUUAAAAUUAUAACAGUGGUGAUAUCAAACAAAUACUCCAGAAGUUUCUACACAAAAUACUCUACAACUUUGGUAUUCAAUGGAUAAUUAAAUUUUGCCAUCUAUAAGUUCUAAAACAUCUGAUAAGAUAACUGACUGAAUUUGUUUCAGACAACAGCAUAGUUAACUUCAAAAUUCGAUAUCUCCCAAACUCCUCAACCAAAAAUUAUGAAAUUAUUCUGACAGUAAGAACUUUUUUCCCUCUACAAAAGUAUCUAUAGUUGGAAGAGCCAAUUCGGCCAUUUACUAGAUGAAACCUACCAGUUAACAGACCCGCUCAUUUUUGUCAGGCAAACAAGAACCCUUAUAUAUCAAAGAGUAGUGGAUUUGAAUUUGUCUAAUAUGAAGUUUAUGGGCUUGGAUCAUUUAAAGUAUUUUAUAAUUCUGAAAGACAAGAUUAAACUAACUAUGUAUGAUCCUUUAGCACUGUACAGAUGGUCGAUGGGACAGUUACAUGGUUUAUAUAGAUGGACCUAUCUAUAUUCCUUCAGUGGUUGAGAAAAAGGUAAAGGUGUGUCACACUCACGUGUGCGCCGCCUCUACCGAGAUGAGGCAUGGCGUUGCAAGGUGAGGCAUGGCAUGGUGCAGCACGAUCGUAUACAUGGUCGUGGCACAGUGUAGCACUGUUGUGGAUAGAUAGAUAAACUUUUGUUGUAGUUAGAGUGCAUGAGUUUUUGAAUGCAACACAAGAAUUUUCACAAUUUAACUUAAUUAAGAAGUUAUAUCUUGAUGACACAGAGUUACCUGACCAUUGAUCUCACAUGCCCUUUUAGCUCUCUCGUUCUCUAGACUCACCCUGACUAUUUAGGUCUCCUGACUCGCCAAUAUAAACACCAUCCUAUCAUUUGCUCUCGAAUACUUCUGUGUCACAACUCAACUGUCAGAUGAGUACUCCAUUACAGCACUGAGCAGGCCUCCGAAAUGAAUAUCUACUCAGAUGAAGGACGACAAUCGUGUUCUAGGGAAAUAUCGGUGACACAACUCCUUACUUCCUCCGCUUCUUCCUAGUGUUUUUUGUUGUGAUUGAGUCGACACAGCAACAACACUGCACUAUUACAACCAGUACGACUAUAUUAACUAGCAAUGUCUUCCUUAUAUGUUACUAUUUAUUUUGCUCAUAUUCAUUAUGUUUAAAUCACAUAGGCACCUUUUUGUUGGCAUCAAAAAAUUAGUAUCAACUUUCUAGAUUAAAGUGAAACUAAAAGUACCUAAAUUUCUAUCGGUGGGGAUCGAGUGAUUCUUUAAACCAAUUAUUACGCAAGUUAACCACACUAAAAUUAACAUUGGUGAACCGUGCCAUGAUUUUUUCUAAUGGAAAAUAGCCAAACCAAGCAACACAUAUGUGGCUAUCGUUACACAUGUGUAAAGGUAUUGCAUCACACCAUUGUCACCCAUGUAUUUGGACAAUACCGAGAGGAAAAACCACUUAUUUAUUGUAUUUUAUCAAGUUUGUCUUGCUUACGUAUAAAUUAUAACCCAACAAAGUAAUCACUAAAUGUCAAAACCAACUAGAUACCAUGUCAUCUCUACCUUAUCUUACUAAUAUUCUUUUUGCAAAAUCCAAAAUUAAUCUUGCACAAGCACAAGGACUGAGAUGUGUAUAAAUAUCUCUUAAAUUAGUAGCUAAUAUAUCACACAUAUUAUUGAGACCAACUAGCAACAUAGAAAGCACAAUAGUGUACCAACAAUGGCAGCUAAAAUAUUUUGCCUCCUUAUGCUCCUUGGUCUUUCUGCAAGUGCUGCUACGGCGACCAUUUUCCCACAAUGCUCACAAGCUCCUAUAGCUUCCCUUCUUCCCCCGUACCUCUCACCAACGGUGUCUUCGGUAUGUGAAAACCCAAUUCUUCAACCCUACAGGAUCCAACAGGCAAUCGCAGCUGGCAUCUUACCUUUAUCACCCUUGUUCCUCCAACAAUCAUCAGCCCUAUUACAGCAGUUACCUUUGGUGCAUUUAUUGGCACAAAACAUCAGGGCACAACAACUACAACAACUUGUGCUAGCAAACCUUGCUGCCUACUCUCAGCAACAGCAGUUUCUUCCAUUCAACCAACUAGCUGCAUUGAACUCUGCUUCUUAUUUGCAACAACAACAACUACCAUUCAGCCAGCUAUCUGCUGCCUACCCCCAGCAAUUUCUUCCAUUCAACCAACUGACAGCAUUGAACUCUCCUGCUUAUUUACAGCAGCAACAACUACUACCAUUCAGCCAGCUAGCUGGUGUGAGCCCUGCUACCUUCUUGACACAACCACAGUUGUUGCCGUUCUACCAGCACGCUGCGCCUAACGCUGGCACCCUCUUACAACUGCAACAAUUGCUGCCAUUCAACCAACUUGCUUUGACAAACCCAGCAGCAUUCUACCAACAACCCAUCAUUGGUGGUGCCCUCUUUUAGAUUUCUUAUGAGUUAUAGUUCAAUAAUAAAGUUUUUUGUCUGAUGUUUGUGGCUUCCCAGAAAUAAGAAAGUACAUUUCUAGAUUCUUAUGUGCUUCUAGUCUCCAAAUGUGGUUGAUAGUUAUUUUGCUCUAAGAUCAACAGUAAUGAAGUAUAAAUCAUCGUUGUGGUGUGCUACUCGGUUAAUUGAGCAUUAACACACACAAACAUGACGAGGAUGGUAUAAUCUCCAAAAAUGUGUACUUUGUUAGGUGGGACCCUAUAGCCUUGAUUAAUGUGCUAUGUUAGGCAUGCCUGGAAACGUGUGACGCAUAUGUUUUGUGAACCUGUUGAUAUUAUAUGUGCUUUUAUAUUACCAUAUUUUAUUAAAAUACUAAUAUUUAUUACUAGUAAGAUAUAACAUUCUAUCUAGCUUAAAAACUAACCAUAAAUAUUCCAUAAUAACUAGAUUUACCAAACUAAUAUACUAAAUAUACAUAAUAAAUACAAAAUUAACAAGACAAUAAUCAAUAUUUAUGAGCUUAAUAUAUUUAGACAUUAUGGUUGGUCGACGAUAAUCAUGCUAACUUUUCGUAAUUGCUUGAUUGUAAAUAUGCUUAGAAUAAUGCCUCUUUGUUCUACAUGGCAAAUAGGGACCAUUAUGGUGUAACACCCUGGGAACCACAAACACCCCGAAAUGCUACUAAACUACACAACUAACCUUCAUAUAUAAAAUUUCGACAGCAUCUCCUUUGAAAAUUUGCAUAGACGUGGAAGCAACAGAGUAUAAACAGAUAUCAUGAUAAGAAAACAUACUAGACAUUAAUAAUCUGCUAGAAAUGGGAAGAUAACCAUAACGACAUAAACUGAAUUAACUAGUGUGCACAACUUGUUAAAAACAAACAUCGUUGACAAGAAGUUUCUAAUUAAAUCAUGGUUGUGCCUGGGCAGCGUUAUUAUGAGAGUGAAGGUGGACGUGAUGCUACUUCCCUCAUUCCCAACAUGAAUCAAGUACCUGCAUUGAGCAAUGCAAGAGUGAGAUGAAAACAUCUCAGCAAGUAAAUUGUUUUGACGAGAUAUUUAAACCAAAAAAAUUUGAUUUACUCAACAUUUUAAAGGGAUCACAAUUGAGAUCAGAAAUACUUGUAGAUAUAGAACUCAAUAGUCCCAAAAUAACCAGUGCCAUCUCAUUUCCUCAAACAACCACAAUAGGUUGUAUAACACUUCCCUGCGUCAUCAAUACCUGCAAAUAUCACUUCAAUGUAUGCAUAGGAAUGCAAUGUUUAAGUCCUCUGCAUUCAUACUUCUUAGAGUAUAAAACCACACCAUCUGCAAAUAUCACUUCAAUGAAUGCAUAUGAAUGCAAUGCAUAUGUCCUCUGCCUUCAUACCUCUAAGGGUAUGAAGCCGAAUCGUACCCCUCCUCGGGCAACGUACGAUGCUAAGUUGUACCGGUACGGUCGGACCAUAGGUCACGACAAAACUUCAUAUGCAAGUGAAUCAUGACAUGUAUAUGGCUUGCUGCAUUUAUCAAUAUACUUCACUUCCUUCAUAUACAAUACAAACCUCAAAUAAUACUUCGUUUACCUUCAGAUACAAUACAAACCUCAAAUAAUACUUCAUUCACCUUCAGGGGUGUUUAUUAAUCUCGUGGGUCAUACUCGAAUCAUCAUCAUCAUCAAUGAUGAUUAAGCAUCAGUAUAAUACAAUCAAGUAAAGCAUCACCAUAGAGUUCAAUUAUGAAAGAAUUCGAUGAUUCUGAAUAUUAGAGUGUAUGCGAUGAAACAACAACGUCAAAACGGUAGCAACCACCGCUACAUUCAUUUGCCUUCAUCGAAGAAGAAAAAUGUACUAGGCAUGAUUCAGAGUGUAGACACCUGCUGUGGGGCUUAAAACUUAGUACAAAUAUUCCACAAACAUUUGCCAACAAUUAACAAAUCGCUCCUACACUUGAAACCAAGACCCGGUGGAAUGACUCCCACCCUGAACCACAUGCCAAACAAUAGUAGUGCUGUUUGUUAAUUUUGUAUCUUUAAAAUUAUAACAGUGGUGAUAUCAAACAAAUACUCUAGAAGUUUCUACACAAAAUACUCUACAACUUCGGUAUUCAAUGGAUAAUUAAAUUUUGCCAUCUAUAAGUUCUAAAACAUCUGAUAAGAUAACUGACUGAAUUUGUUUCAGACAGCAGCAUAGUUAACUUCAAAAUUCGAUAUCUCCCAAACUCCUCAACCAAAAAUUAUGAAAUUAUGCUGACAGUAAGAACUUUUUGUCCCUCUACAAAAGUAUCUAUAGUUGGAAGAGCCAAUUCGGCCAUUUACUAGAUGAAACCUACCAGUUAACAGACCCGCUCAUUUUUGUCAGGCAAACAAGAACCCUUAUAUAUCAAAGAGUAGUGGAUUUGAAUUUGUCUAAUAUGAAGUUUAUGGGCUUGGAUCAUUUAAAGUAUUUUAUAAUUCUGAAAGACAAGAUUAAACUAACUAUGUAUGAUCCUUUAGCACCGUACAGAUGGUCGAUGGGACAGUUACAUGGUUUAUAUAGAUGGACCUAUCUAUAUUCCUUCAGUGGUUGAGAAAAAGGUAAAGGUGUGUCACACUCACGUGUGCGCCGCCUCUGCCGAGAUGAGGCAUGGCGUUGCAAGGUGAGGCAUGGCAUGGUGCAGCACGAUCGCAGUCAUGGUCGUGGCACAGUGUAGCACUGUUGUGGAUAGAUAGAUAAACUAUUGUUGUAGUUAGAGUGCAUGAGUUUUUGAAUGCAACACUAGGAUUUUCACAAUUUAACUUAAUUAAGAAGUUAUAUCUUGAUGACACAGAGUUACCUGACCAUUGAUCUCACAUGCCCUUUUAGCUCUCUUGUUCUCUAGACUCACCCUGACUAUUGAGGUCUCUUGACUCGCCAAUAUAAACACCAUCCUAUCAUUUGCUCUCGAAUACUUUUGUGUCACAACUCAACUGUCAGAUGAGUACUCCAUUACAGCACUGAGCAGGCCUCCGAAAUGAAUAUCUACUCAGAUGAAGGACGACAAUCGUGUUCUAGGGAAAUAUCAGUGACACAACUCCUUACUUCCUCUGCUUCUUCCUAGUGUUUUUUGUUGUGAUUGAGUCGACACAGCAACAACACUGCACUAUUACAACCAGUACGACUAUAUUAACUAGCAAUGUCUUCCUUAUAUGUUACUAUUUAUUUUGCUCAUAUUCAUUAUGUUUAAAUCACAUAGGCACCUUUUUGUUGGCAUCAAAAAAUUAGUAUCAACUUUCUAGAUUAAAGUGAAACUAAAAGUACCUAAAUUUCUAUCGGUGGGGAUCGAGUGAUUCUUUAAACCGAUUAUUACACAAGUGAACCACACUAAAAUUAACAUUGGUGAAUCGUGCCAUGAUUUUUUCUAGUGGAAAAUAGCCAAACCAAGCAACACAUAUGUGGCUAUCGUUACACAUGUGUAAAGGUAUUGCAUCACACCAUUGUCACCCAUGUAUUUGGACAAUACCGAGAGGAAAAACCACUUAUUUAUUGUAUUUUAUCAAGUUUGUCUUGCUUACGUAUAAAUUAUAACCCAACAAAGUAAUCACUAAAUGUCAAAACCAACUAGAUACCAUGUCAUCUCUACCUUAUCUUACUAAUAUUCUUUUUGCAAAAUCCAAAAUUAAUCUUGCACAAGCACAAGGACUGAGAUGUGUAUAAAUAUCUCUUAAAUUAGUAGCUAAUAUAUCACACAUAUUAUUGAGACCAACUAGCAACAUAGAAAGCACAAUAGUGUACCAACAAUGGCAGCCAAAAUAUUUUGCCUCCUUAUGCUCCUUGGUCUUUCUGCAAGUGCUGCUACGGCGACCAUUUUCCCACAAUGCUCACAAGCUCCUAUAGCUUCCCUUCUUCCCCCGUACCUCUCACCAGCGGUGUCUUCGGUAUGUGAAAACCCAAUUCUUCAACCCUAUAGGAUCCAACAGGCAAUCGCAGCUGGCAUCUUACCUUUAUCACCCUUGUUCCUCCAACAAUCAUCAGCCCUAUUACAGCAGUUACCUUUGGUGCAUUUAUUGGCACAAAACAUCAGGGCACAACAACUACAACAACUUGUGCUAGCAAACCUUGCUGCCUACUCUCAGCAACAACAGUUUCUUCCAUUCAACCAACUAGCUGCAUUGAACUCUGCUUCUUAUUUGCAACAACAACAACUACCAUUCAGCCAGCUAUCUGCUGCCUACCCCCAGCAAUUUCUUCCAUUCAACCAACUGACAGCUUUGAACUCUCCUGCUUAUUUACAGCAGCAACAACUACUACCAUUCAGCCAGCUAGCUGGUGUGAGCCCUGCUACCUUCUUGACACAACCACAAUUGUUGCCGUUCUACCAGCACGCUGCGCCUAACGCUGGCACCCUCUUACAACUGCAACAAUUGCUGCCAUUCAACCAACUUGCUUUGACAAACCCAACAGCAUUCUACCAACAACCCAUCAUUGGUGGUGCCCUCUUUUAGAUUUCUUAUGAGUUAUAGUUCAAUAAUAAAGUUUUUUGUCUGAUGUUUGUGGCUUCCCAGAAAUAAGAAAGUACAUUUCUAGAUUCUUAUGUGCUUCUAGUCUCCAAAUGUGGUUGAUAGUUAUUUUGCUCUAAGAUUAGCAGUAAUGAAGUAUAAAUCAUCGUUGUGGUGUGCUACUCGGUUAAUUGAGCAUUAACACACACAAACAUGACGAGGAUGGUAUAAUCUCCAAAAAUGUGUACUUUGUUAGGUGGGACCCUAUAGCCUUGCAGAAUGUGCUACGUUAGGCAUGCCAAUGGAAACGUGUGACACAUACGUUUUGUGAAUCUGUUGAUAUUAUAUGUGCUUUUAUAUUACCAUAUUUUAUUAAAAUACUAAUAUUUAUUACUAGUAAGAUAUAACAUUCUAUCUAGCUUAAAAACUAACCAUAAAUAUUCCAUAAUAACUAGAUUUACCAAACUAAUAUACUAAAUAUACAUAAUAAAUAUAAAAUUAACAAGACAAUAAUUAAUAUUUAUGAGCUUAAUUUAUUUAGACAUUAUGGUUGGUCGACGAUAAUCAUGCUAACUUUCCGUAAUUGCUUGAUUGUAAAUAUGCUUAGAAUAAUGCCUCUUUGUUCUACAUGGCAAAUAGGGACCAUUAUGGUGUAACACCCCGGGAUCCACAAACACCCCGAAAUGCUACUAAACUACACAACUAACCUUCAUAUAUAAAAUUUCGACAGCAUCUCCUUUGAAAAUUUGCAUAAACGUGGAAGCAACAGAGUAUAAACAGAUAUCAUGAUAAGGAAACAUACUAGACAUUAAUAAUCUGCUAGAAAUGGGAAGAUAACCAUAACGACAUAAACUGAAUUAACUAGUGUGCACAACUUGUUAAAAACAAACAUCGUUGACAAGAAGUUUCUAAUUAAAUCAUGGUUGUGCCUGGGCAGCGUUAUUAUGAGAGUGAAGGUGGACGUGAUGCUACUUCCCUCAUUCCCAACAUGAAUCAAGUACCUGCAUUGAGUAAUGCAAGAGUGAGAUGAAAACAUCUCAGCAAGUAAAUUGUUUUGACGAGAUAUUUAAACCAAAAAAAUUGAUUUAAUCAACAUUUUAAAGGGAUCACAAUUGAGAUCAGAAAUACUUGUAGAUAUAGAACUCAAUAGUCCCAAAAUAACCAAUGCCAUCUCAUUUCCUCAAACAACCACAAUAGGUUGUAUAACACUUCCCUGCGUCAUCAAUACCUGCAAAUAUCACUUCAAUGUAUGCAUAGGAAUGCAAUGUUUAAGUCCUCUGCAUUCAUACUUCUUAGAGUAUAAAACCACACCAUCUGCAAAUAUCACUUCAAUGAAUGCAUAUGAAUGCAAUGCAUAUGUCCUCUGCCUUCAUACCUCUAAGGGUAUGAAGCCGCAUCGUACCCCUCCUCGGGCAACGUACGAUGCUAAGUUGUACCGGUACGGUCGGACCAUAGGUCACGACAAAACUUCAGAUGCAAGUGAAUCAUGACAUGUAUAUGGCAUGCUGCAUUUAUCAAUAUACUUCACUUCCUUCAUAUACAAUACAAACCUAAAAUAAUACUUCGUUUACCUUCAGAUACAAUACAAACCUCAAAUAAUACUUCAUUCACCUUCAGGGGUGUUUAUUAAUCUCGUGGGUCAUACUCAAAUCAUCAUCAUCAUCAAUGAUGUUUAAGCAUCAGUAUAAUACAAUCAAGUAAAGCAUCACCAUAGAGUUCAAUUAUGAAAGAAUUCGAUGAUUCUGAAUAUUAGAGUGUAUGCGAUGAAACAACAAAGUCAAAACGGUAGCAACCACCUCUACAUUCACUUGCCUUCAUCGAAGAAGAAAAAGGUACUAGGCAUGAUUCGGAGUGUAGACACCUGCUGUGGGGCUUAAAACUUAGUACAAAUAUUCCAUAAACAUUUGCCAACAAUUAACAAAUCGCUCCUACACUUGAAACCAAGACCCGGUGGAAUGACUCCCACCCUGAACCACAUGCCAAACAACAAUAGUGUUGUUUGUUAAUUUCUAUCUUUAAAAUUAUAACAGUGGUGAUAUCAAACAAAUACUCUAUACGUUUCUACACAAAAUACUCUACAACUUCGGUAUUCAAUGGAUAAUUAAAUUUUGCCAUCUAUAAGUUCUAAAACAUCUGACAAGAUAACUGACUGAAUCUGUUUCAGACAACAGCAUAGUUAACUUCAAAAUUCGAUAUCUCCCUAACUCCUCAACAAAAAAUUAUGAAAUUAUGCUGACAGUAAGAACUUUUAUCCCUCUACAAAAGUCUCCAUAGUUGAAAGAGCCAAUUCGGCCAUUUACUAGAUGAAACCUACCAGUUAACGGACCCGCUCAUUUUUGUCAAGCAAACAAGAACCCUUAUAUAUCAAAGAGUAGUGGAUUUGAAUUUGUCUAAUAUGAAGUUUACGGGCUUGGCUCAUUUAAAGUAUUUAAUAAUUCUGAAAGACAAGAUUAAACUAACUAUGUAUGAUCCUUUAGCACCGUACAGAUGGUCGAUGGGACAGUUACAUGGUUUAUAUAGAUGGACCUAUCUAUAUUCCUUCAGUGGUUGAGAAAAAAGUAAAGGUGUGUCACACUCACGUGUGCGCCGCCUCCGCCGAGACGAGGCAUGGCGUUGCAAGGUGAGGCAUGGCAUGGUGUAGCACGAUAGCAGUCAUGGUCGUGGCACAGUGUAGCACUGUUGUGGAUAGAUAGGUAAACUAUUGUUGUAGUUAGAGUGCAUGAGUUUUUGAAUGCAACACUAGAAUUUUCACAAUUUAACUUAAUUAAGAAGUUAUAUCUUGAUGACACAGAGUUACCUGACCAUUGAUCUCACAUGCCCUUUUAGCUCUCUCGUUCUCUAGACUCACCCUGACUAUUUAAGUCUCUUGACUCGCCAAUAUAAACACCAUCCUAUCAUUUGCUCUAGAAUACUUCUGUGUCACAACUCAACUGUCAGAUGAGUACUCCAUUACAGCACUUACGUACACGAGUUCUAUGAGAGCAGGCCUCCAAAAUGAAUAUCUACUUAGAUGAAGGACGACAAUCGUGUUCUAGGGAAAUAUCAGCGACACAACUCCUUACUUCCUUCGCUUCUUCCUAGUGUUUUUUGUUGUGAUUGAGUCGACACAGCAACAACACUGCACUAUUACAACCAGUACGACUAUAUCAACUAGCAAUGUCUUCCUUAUAUGUUACUAUUUAUUUUGCACAUAUUCAUUAUGUUUAAAUCACAUAGGCACCUUUCUAUUGGCAUCAAAAAAUUAGUAUCAACUUUCUAGAUUAAAAUGAAACUAAAAGUACAUAAAUUUCUAUCGGUGGGGAUCGAGUGAUUCUUUAAACCGAUUAUUACACAAGUUAACCACACUAAAAUUAACAUUGGUGAAUCGUGCCAUGAUUUUUUUUCUAGUGGAAAAUAGCCAAACCAAGCAACACAUAUGUGGCUAUCGUUACACAUGUGUAAAGGUAUUGCAUCACACUAUUGUCACCCAUGUAUUUGGACAAUACCGAGAGGAAAAACCACUUAUUUAUUGUAUUUUAUCAAGUUUGUCUUGCUUACGUAUAAAAUUAUAACCCAACAAAGUAAUCACUAAACGUCAAAACCAACUAGAUAUCAUGUCAUCUCUACCUUAUCUUACUAAUAUUCUUUUUGCAAAAUCCAAAAUUAAUCUUGCACAAGCACAAGGACUGAGAUGUGUAUAAAUAUCUCUUAAAUUAGUAGCUAAUAUAUCGCACAUAUUAUUUAGACCAACUAGCAACAUAGAAAGCACAAUAGUGUACCAACAAUGGCAGCCAAAAUAUUUUGCCUCCUUAUGCUCCUUGGUAUUUCUGCAAGUGCUGCUACGGCGACCAUUUUCCCGCAAUGCUCACAAGCUCCUAUAGCUUCCCUUCUUCCCCCGUACCUCUCACCAGCGGUGUCUUCGGUAUGUGAAAACCCAAUUCUUCAACCCUACAGGAUCCAACAGGCAAUCGCAGCUGGCAUCUUACCUUUAUCACCCUUGUUCCUCCAACAAUCAUCAGCCCUAUUACAGCAGUUACCUUUGGUGCAUUUAUUGGCACAAAACAUCAGGGCACAACAACUACAACAACUUGUGCUAGCAAACCUUGCUGCCUACUCUCAGCAACAGCAGUUUCUUCCAUUCAACCAACUAGCUGCAUUGAACUCUGCUUCUUAUUUGCAACAACAACAACUACCAUUCAGCCAGCUAC